AGGACAAUUUCGGAAGCAUCUCAGACUCAACCGAGGUACCAACUAUAUCAGAACACCUUAUGCUUGCUUUACUUUCCACAUUUUCAGANNNNNNNCAAGGAAUCGUGACUCGAAUUGAUGCUGAGCAGAUUACUUGCUUCACUAGUGGUAUGAUGUAAGCUGUCAUUUGCUCUAUUUUUAAAAGGUGAAAGUUCAUCCUCGUUAAUAGAAUUCUGACUUGUUGCAGUUUCACGACAGACUUCAUCAGAAAAUUCGUUGCCCUUUGAUCCCAUACAGGCUACCUUGAGAUGCAUACAAGAUGAACAAGGAGCAGAACACACAUUACAAGUCCCAGACUCUGCUCUUGUACUUGUACGAACCUUACGUCUCAUGGAACGCUUGCCAAAUCUUUUCUCAGAUUGCGAUGGUAACAUAUUCUUCUCAAUAUCUUGUUCAGUUUCCUCUACUGGCCCUUGCAUGCGACAACUCCCCCUCAAGACUGAUGUGAUCUUUAGUUCCCCGAAUCACCUCCGUCGCGUUGUAAAGUUCCUCCACGCUCCGUUCCCUUUGCCCGGCUGCCAUCCCCGCCGCCACCGACACAAUCCGCCGCAAUACAACCACAUCAAAUCCAAUUCAUUUCAAUCACCACAAAUUGCUCAAAAUUUCUCCUUCCGCCUCCCAAAUAGAUACGCAACUCAAUCUCAAAUUGAACACUAAUUAUAUCCCUAUAAUCAACUCACUAUCUAGGUUUCCCCUUUUUCUCCUAAUCCAAAAAACGAGCAACAAUCAGAGACGAUAUCCCUUUCACUACCUCUAACAAGAGGAUCUGAUACGCAAC
rnacentral:misc_RNA from 1 species